GCUUGGAUAGCUCAGUUGGUUAGAGUGCAGGGCUGGUAACACCAAGGUUGCAGGUUCGAUCCCCGUAUGGGACA